rnacentral:rRNA from 1 species
AGCGAACGCUGGCGGCAGGCCUAACACAUGCAAGUCGAACGAACCUUUCGGGGUUAGUGGCGGACGGGUGAGUAACACGUGGGAACGUGCCUUUAGGUUCGGAAUAACUCAGGGAAACUUGUGCUAAUACCGAAUGUGCCCUUCGGGGGAAAGAUUUAUCGCCUUUAGAGCGGCCCGCGUCUGAUUAGCUAGUUGGUUGAGGUAAUGGCUCACCAAGGCGACGAUCAGUAGCUGGUCGGAGAGGAUGAUCAGCCACAUUGGGACUGAGACACGGCCCAAACUCGGACGGGAGGGAGCAGUGGGGAAUCUUGCGCAAUGGGCGAAAGCCUGACGCAGCCAUGCCGCGUGAAUGAGGAAGGUCUUAGGAUUGUAAAAUUCUUUCACCGGGGACGAUAAUGACGGUACCCGGAGAAGAAGCCCCGGCUAACUUCGUG